rnacentral:rRNA from 1 species
GUGCCAGCCGCCGCGGUAAUUCCAGCUCCAAUAGCGUGUAUUAAAGUUGUUGUGGUUAAAAAGCUCGUAGUUGAACCUUGGGCCUGGCUGGCCGGUCCGCCUCACCGCGUGCACUGGUCCGGCCGGGCCUUUCCCUCUGUGGAACCCCAUACCCUUCACUGGGCGUGGCGGGGAAACAGGACAUUUACUUUGAAAAAAUUAGAGUGCUCCAGGCAGGCCUAUGCUCGAAUACAUUAGCAUGGAAUAAUAAAAUAGGACGCGCGGUUCUAUUUUGUUGGUUUAUAGGACCGCCGUAAUGAUUAAUAGGGACAGUCGGGGGCAUCAGUAUUCAACUGUCAGAGGUGAAAUUCUUGGAUCAGUUGAAGACUAACUACUGCGAAAGCAUUUGCCAAGGAUGUUUUCAUUAAUCAGGAACGAAAGUUAGGGGAUCGAAGACGAUCAGAUACCGUCGUAGUCUUAACCAUAAACUAUGCCGACUAGGGAUCGGACGGUGUUAUUCAUGACCCGUUCGGCACCUUACGAGAAAUCAAAGUGCUUGGGCUCCAGGGGGAGUAUGGUCGCAAGGCUGAAACUUAAAGAAAUUGACGGAAGGGCACCACCAGGGGUGGAGCCUGCGGCUUAAUUUGACUCAACACGGGGAAACUCACCAGGUCCAGACACAAUAAGGAUUGACAGAUUGAGAGCUCUUUCUUGAUUUUGUGGGUGGUGAUGCAUGGCCGUUCUUAGUUGGUGGGGGUGACUUGUCUGCCUAAUUGCGAUAACGAACGAGACCUUAACCUGCUAAAUAGCCCGCAUUGCUCCGGCAGUGCGCUGGCUUCUUAGAGGGACUUUCGGCUCAAGCCGAAGGAAGUUUGAGGCAAUA